CAGUAGCCACGGGAAUACGAAGGGUGCAAGCGUUAAUCGGAAUUACUGGGCGUAAAGGGUGCGUAGGCGGUUGUUUAAGUCUGUUGUGAAAUCCCCGGGCUCAACCUGGGAAUGGCAAUGGAAACCGGACGGCUAGAGUGUGUCAGAGGAUGGCAGAAUUCCAGGUGUAGCGGUGAAAUGCGUAGAGAUCUGGAGGAAUACCGGUGGCGAAGGCGGCCCCCUGGACAAAGACUGACGCUCAGGUGCGAAAGCGUGGGGAGCAAACAGGAUUAGAUACCCGCGUAGUCCCUGUCUCUUAUAC
rnacentral:rRNA from 1 species